rnacentral:ncRNA from 1 species
UCUAAUACGUUGAAAAGGAAUAGUACGCUUUUCUAAGCGCUCAGAGAGCUGUUGAUUGGUGUGAAACAGCCGCGAGGAAGAAUGGAACUCACCUUGGAGUUGCCCGCUGAACCAGUGAAGUAGGCGGAGCCGGAAUCCUGACCGUUAUCAUCGGGAGGAUAUGAGGUUUACCCGCAGUUCCGGGAACCUAUAUCCGCAGAGUGCAUGCCUUCUAUGGCAUGAAUUCGGAGUGGUACCGCGUAAGAUGUUACAGUCUUUCGUCUCUGUU